UACGUAGGGCGCGAGCGUUGUCCGGAAUUAUUGGGCGUAAAGAGCUCGUAGGCGGCUUGUCGCGUCGGAUGUGAAAGCUCGGGGCUUAACUCCGGGUCUGCAUUCGAUACGGGCAGGCUAGAGUUCGGUAGGGGAGAUCGGAAUUCCUGGUGUAGCGGUGAAAUGCGCAGAUAUCAGGAGGAACACCGGUGGCGAAGGCGGAUCUCUGGGCCGAUACUGACGCUGAGGAGCGAAAGCGUGGGGAGCGAACAGG
rnacentral:rRNA from 1 species